rnacentral:rRNA from 1 species
UACGUAGGGGGCUAGCGUUGUCCGGAAUCAUUGGGCGUAAAGAGCGUGUAGGCGGCCCGGUAAGUCCGCUGUGAAAGUCGGGGGCUCAACCCUCGAAUGCCGGUGGAUACUGUCGGGCUAGAGUGCGGAAGAGGCGAGUGGAAUUCCUGGUGUAGCGGUGAAAUGCGCAGAUAUCAGGAGGAACACCAAUUGCGAAGGCGGAUCUCUGGGCCAUUACUGACGCUGAGGAGCGAAAGCGUGGGGAGCGAACAGG